UCACAACAACACCCUGCAAACUCCUCCUAUUUCUUUUCAACUUUAUGGGAAGUUUAGAUGCUUUCCCGGCCUGUGUUAUUUCAUCUUCUGCAUUUCAAUAGAAAAGGGGACCUGGAACACUGCUGGAAAUGAAAAUGGUGGCUAAAUCCAUUAGCAAAAGAUUCCUACCACAGGAGUUCUUGAAAACUCUCUGUAGCAUACCACAUGGAAACGGCA